rnacentral:lncRNA from 1 species
UAAUAAGUACAUACUAAAAGGAGGGUCCAUGUGCAAUGUAGCCCCACAUUAAUUGACUGCACUUUUGAUAUGCUCUGAGCAGGAUUCAAAGUCUUGGGGAGAGCCCAGCCAUAAAGAACCUGAGCUACCAGAGGAGGAGGACCACUCACUCCUAAGGUCUCGGUCAUCACAAGAGGAGACUUGCCAGGCAAAAAAUGAAGUCAGAAAAAAAAAAUUCCCUGAGGAUGGAAGAUUUGAAAAGGCACCAAAGAGUAAUUUUGCCUUCUGCUGAAAUACCUGCAACGUCAAGGUAAUUUAUAGGUAUUGCAGCAAAAGUAUGCUAAAAUGCCUAUGACAGAGAACUACACUUCUUGGGAAACAAACUCACAGCUUCAGUACCAAGCAGCAGCAGCAGCCUGUGCCCAUGCUGUAUUCCACAAUCUGUAAUUUCAGCUACAUAUCUAUUUAUUCCAAUGCCGCAGCAUUCCAUUUCUGAAUGAGUUCCCACAUCAUGGUGACACAUGCCUAGCAUUAUUGCAUUUUAGACAGCCAUCUGUACUGAUAUAUUCAGCC